rnacentral:lncRNA from 1 species
GCAUUUGACUGUGUGAGUGUGGAGGCCAGCGUUCUGCAAGCCCUGGGCCUGCCUGCCUGCAUCUCCUUCGUGCCUCGUGGAAGGUAAUGUUGCCAGUGAAGUGUGCACACCUCCUCUUCUCCCUCAGCCAUGGGACUGCUCAGGUCUGGGAACAGCUGCCUUGUGGAGAGACUACAUUCUCCAAGCUUCUCUUGCAGCUAGGAAUGACCCCCUGAGCUGUGAGCAUAAACUGUAGGAGGGGCUGCCGGGAACAUCUCUGCAGGAUCCCGUCCUUCCUACAUUCUGCCCGGAACUCAGAUGUCUAGAGCUGCAGAGACCAUCUUGACCCCAGGGGCAACGCUUCACGCUUCACGCAUAGUAGCAAACCCAAAAGACAAAAGGCAUUGAGUCCCGUUGGCGGCAGAGGCGGAGCCUCAGUCCUGAUGGCGGAGGAGGAGCCUCACCGGUCCUUGCUGACCCUGCUCUGCACUUGUUUGUGUGAAGAAAAGAAAUCCCUGUUCAUUGAGACCUUUGUCACUCGGUUUCCUGUUACUGGCAGCUGAAUACAUUUCUGACACAUUUGCUCAAACAGCGCGGAGCUCACUGGGCCUCUUUGUCACCUGUGUUUCUCAGGGGUGGCCUAGUGCUUCCUCGUCUGGGCUGUUCUGCUGACACCGUUCCCCAGAGAAGAGAAAAGGUCUCUCUGUUAGAUGAGGUGAAAGGGUUGAUUUAAUUCAUUUGAAUUACAGAAGUCAUGUGUGAAGGCGUCUGGUGUCUCCAGAUGGCUCUGGAGUUCUCAGCAUGCUUCAGGUCAGGCGUGACCCAGGCCCUUGGGCUGGGUAGAAACUUCUCGGCUGGCUUCAGCUGGCUUCAGACCCUGCUUUCCCACCCUAGUCCAGAAAGGGGGCCCACGAGUGUCAGAGAGGUUCAGGCCCUGCAGUGGCGCUUAGAGCAUGUUGUCAACUAUUGUCACCUGGAAUGACCUCUUUGCCCUAAGCUCCAGCCACCAGCACCUGCUCCCUGGAGAUGCCAGCCUGCCAGGGCUAGAAGGCACCUUCGUCAGGCACAAGGGCCAGCCCACCAAGAUCGCUGUGGGGCGAGUCAGGAGGCCAGGGAGCUGGCAGGGUAAGUUAUUAUUUUUAUAGCUGUCACCAGAUCCCUGGCCCAGCCUUGCAGCCCUGGCAGGGACAGAGGCAGCCUGGGAGAAGGAGGACGCCUUAGAGGCUUGGUAGUCAGGGCAGGGGCUGUGGAGAAGGGAACACCGGGGCAGGUCAGGGCCUGCUGGGCCUCGGCUUCUCCUGCUUCAUGGGGUGAAGGGCUGGUGACUGAUACACAGACAUGGCAUCUCUUGCCUUCGUCCCUGACCCCAGGCAUGUGCCAUGAGGUUCUCCCAGGCCAUUCCAAGAACUGCAUUGCACCCUGCUCGAGUCCCCUUAGGCCUACUCCAAGACCAUGUGUGACUUCCUUUACAGCCUCAUCCUGUCUGUCCAUGUGGCCAACUCCUGCUGUGGAUUCCUCUUCCUUAGUCUACCAUCACACCUGCAAAGGCACUUAGCUGUCCCUGCCGGGGGCCUCAAAGGGCCAAGCCAAUGCCCAAGAGCCCCUCCCUACACCCAGGUUAUCAGUACUCUGAUUUUGUUGUUAGGACAGUAUGGCAUGUAGCCCAGGUUACCCCUAAAAUGCUGAUCCCCUUGCCUCUAUUUCUGGAGUGCUGGGAUUAGAGACCUACAUUAUGCCAGUUUCAUGAAAUGUUGGGGAUUGAACCCCUGACCUUGUACACACUAGACAAGCUGCAUCCCCUGCCACUAUACCGUGAGUUCUGAUAACAAGAACUUGUUCACCCAUUUCUGUGAAUUGUGUUAAAGGAAUCCCAUGCUUGGUCCCCAACUCCAACUUCACGUUUCUCUAAGUGGCAGUGUGUGACUUGCUAGUCCUUUUUAUUGCUGAGUGGCCACUCAUUUUAUAGCUUGGGGACAAUUUGGUUUCCAUCUGGGCUCUUUAGGGGUGGCUGAGAUGGAUACUGUACAAACAUGUGGUCCAAAGUGUGUGUGUGUGUGUGUGUGUGUGUGUGUCUGUCUGUCGGUCUCUGUGUUAAAAAACACUUGUCAUCUUGAAAAAGAUUGAAGAUUUAUAGGAAAAUGACAAACUUGGGCAUAUUUCAUCUGGACUGGGAAUAAAUCAUUGAGUUCUCACCAGUCCUUCAUUAUUUGUUUCUCGUAAACUUUUUGUUGGUGCUAGAGAGAGGGCACAGUCAUUAAGAGCACCGGCUGCCCUUUCCAGAGGACCUGGGUUCAAUUCCCAGCACCCACAUGGCAGCUCACAACUGGAGUCUAUAAUAUCAGUUCCAGGGGACCAUCACACAGACAAAUAUGCCAGCAAAACACCAAUGCACAUAAAAUAAAAAUAGGUAAAUCUAUUAAAAUCUUUGUUUCUUGGUGGGCAGUGAUGGCACACAGUUUUAAUCCCAGCGCUUAUAGGGCAGAGGCAGGUGGAUCUCUGUAAAUUCAAAGGCAGCCUGGUCCACAGAGCGAGUUCCAGGACAGCCAGGACUGCACAGAGAAGCCCUGUCUCAAAAAGCCAACCCUAGUGAAGCCACUCUGUCCCAGAUGAGGUAAUUUCGUGUGAGGCAUGGUGUUCUGUCCCUUGCACAGGGAGAGAAAUGAGGGUCACAACAGAUGAAGAGGCAAAUGCCCACCUGUGGGGUGUGUGUGACAGAAGCAAACCACGAACUGUGCCGGACGGACGAUGAAGCCCCUUUCUGUCACAACAGGAGCCCCUGGUCUCAGGAGUUAACCGCCUGCAGUGCUGGGCACGGUGCCUGGCAUGGAGGAGGACAGGAACGGAGGAAGAACAUCCAGGUGGGUGGGAAGGUGUGGACACGGGAAUGUUCAAGGCGUGUUUGGGAAGAGCGAGGAGACCAGCCCGGCUGGUGGGGAGGCUGGAAAGACUGGUUGAGGCCAGGAGGCCCUGACGGGGCCAGAGGAGGGCGGGCCUUAGUUGGGAAGUUCUAUGUAGCCAUUGUGUGCUCUGGAACCCUGGAAAUGGUUCUUGGUUUUGGUUUGAUUUUUCAUAAAUUGUGUAAGAAUUUCCAGUUUGAAGGCUACUAACCCCCCUGCCCCCAGAGGUGGCCCUCAAAGUGACACCCAAGAUGGAUUCCUUUGUAUCUGGUGUGUCUGCCUCACAUUUCCCUGUGAGGUCCACUCACUGGUUGUCUCUCUUUUCUCUGCUGUAUAGUAUUCCACUAAUCCAAUAGACCACAGUGUGCUGACUUACCCUUCUCUAUGUGAAUGUUGUCUCUGGUUUUGAUUCUAGACUGGCACUUCUAGAAUACUCUAGCACACUCCUCUUGGUACUCUCCAGAAGGCUUUUUUGUCUUAGGCUAGUCCAAGGCAGACAGAGUUCAAUGGCGGGGGAUAUGCAUAUUUUAUCUCUGUAGUUUGUCCAUAUUUCCAGGGUGUCGGGACCCCAUCUCUAUCCUUUUAGACACAGUUCACCCUGAGGUCUCCAUCUGCAGCAUUCACACAGGUCAGAGUUGGGGUCAUGACACGUCUUUGAAGUCUCUGCUGUAGCCAUUGGGAGGCCCUGGGUUCUCCUACCCCUAGGUUCUCAUCUUCCUUCAGGAAGCAGGCUAGUGCCUGGGCUUCCCAUCCAGGUAGUCUCCUGCAUGGUACAGGGUGUUUGGGGUUGGUGCUUGGAUCUGGUGAGAUAGGGUCCUGCAAGAGGCAAGAUCCAGCAAGGAGACGCGGUCUGGUGAAGACCCCCCCAGAGAGGCAGGCUUUGGAUUGAACUCCCAAAAGGGGGUUACAGACUGAGAAAAGAGAAUGUUCUAAUGCUGAACUCUUGGCAGGCGUCGGCUGUGGGGGGAGCCGGGGACACUCAGCUAUAGUGCCUAGGAAGCCUUGUAUCCCAGGUUAUCAACCUGCCCCAGAAUUCAUGCGCUGUGUGGCUUGGAUGCUCAUGGCUCCCUCUCUGGGCUUGAGCUUCCUCUGUGUGGGAAGCUUAAGGAGGCUGGCUCCCUGUCUGCCGGCUGUCCUGGCCCCUUAGGCCUCCUUGGCCACCCCCUCCAUACCCUCGAGGAAGCUGAGGCUGAGGCACAGGGCCAGGGCUUGCACCUUGACAACACACCCACGCAGGGCACAAAGGCCCAUUGUUUGAGCCCACGUUGGCGGGGAAGCGGGUGGGAAGCAGCCAGCCGCCUUUCACCCAACCCGCUUGUGGUCGGUGGACUGAGGAGCAAUUCACAAAACUCCGCCCCUGCCUGGGCACCUGGCCAGGCCGCCUCCCGGGCAGGCACCCUUGCCAAGCUGAGCCAGCCUCUACCCUGUUCCUGGCCUCAGUUUCCCCCAGCAGGGAGCAGGCUAGGAGAGCAUCGAGGUAGGAGGGUGGAACUUGCUGUUGGCCUGGGGGCUGGAGUCCCAGCACAGACAAGCCACCCACUUGGUUCAGGAGGAGGCUUGAGGACAGGAACUUGGGGCCCAACAAACCUAAUAUGGGGUCCUGCUUGAAUAGUUUGAGAGAGUCUGUUUACUGGUAAGUCUUAGUUUCUCCAACUGUAAAAGGAAUUUAAGAGCUUAUGACCAUUGGGACCCAUGGGACCACAGGGUGGUAGCUACCCAUUUAUCGAUCCACCCACCUUCCCAUCCAUCCAUCCAUUCACCCACACACUCAUCCAUCCAUCCAUCCAACCAUCCAUCCAUCCAUCCAUCCAUCCAUCCAUCCAUCCAUCCAUCCACUGUCACAUGUUAGGCAUGGACUCUGCCAGGACAUCUGUAGAACUUCCAAGACCAUAUGUAAAGUGAAACAUGAGGUCCCUAAUCCAGAACCAAGGGUUGCAAGAUGGCAUCUGUAUCAAGCCCAGUUCAGACCCGGCCCUCCAAAAGACUCUGUGCCAUGGCUCCUGAUCUUGCUGUCCGGAGGCUAGCUUAGGAACUAGACACAGAGAUACACUAAUGAACAAAGUCCCUCCAAGGGUGCAGAUCUCUUAGCGGCAGAAGCUGGGGCCUCUGACCUGUCCCUUGAGCCACGGUCCAUUGUGACCCCCAACUGUCUGGCACCCCUGUUCCAAGGGUGGCCCCAGUCAGGUGAACACCAUGCAUCUUUGCACCUAUCUUGUCAGGAGAUGCAUAGGCUGGCUGUGUUUUGGUACUGAGGGGGAAACUGAGGCUCCAGUCCUCUGGAUCAUCAACAGUUGAGUGGCAGUGUCAGGAUUCAAACUCAGGUCAAUUCAUACCAGAGUCCAAGCCUCCUCUGUGUGGGGACAGCCAGAGCCUUAUGCCAGGGCUCUGCUGGGGUUCAAGUUUGGGGAGGGUGUGGGUAUGCUGGUGGCCUGCCAGCUGCCACCUGGGCUUGAUCCUUCCUACGGCCCUGAGUCACAGCUCUGUGUCCUGGGAAGCUGGCUCUGCCUUCGUCACCCAUGGGAUUUGUGUGGCUUCCUGUCACCAGGUCCACCUCCUCUACAUUUCAGGGUCAUGCAGGACCCUGAGUGGGCUUGUUAGACAGGACCCUGAACCUUUCUACUCUUGUGGCCUUUAGAGACAUCUUUCUGUGUUGUCUCACUUGGGCUGAACCCAUCCUUCUGAGAUAAUCCAGCAGAGAUUAGCUGUCGUCGGGUAAAGUUGGGAGAGUCACUAGGGAGACGCCUCAUGCAUCUGGUGGAACCUGAAUUCUAGAGUGUGGAACUUUUGGCAUCCCAAACCUAGGCUUUAUUGACUUCUUAUUUAUUCUGAAAUGGUCUCAUGUAGCCCAAGCUAGCCUAGAACUCUAUGUAGCAGCCUGACUUUGAAGUCUUCGCUUUUCUACCUCUACCUCAAGAGAGCUCAGAGAUUUUGACCAUGCCUAGCUUCACAGUCUAUUUUAAAGAGUUCCUGUGAGACAGAGCUACAUAUUCCACAAAUAUCAAUUCCCAGACCCCAGCAGCUGGGAAACCCAGAGCCCCUGCAUGCCCACACCAACACCCAGGACCUCCUCCUUGUCUGAUUGCCUUGA